rnacentral:rRNA from 1 species
CCUACGGGCGGCAGCAGUAGGGAAUAUUGCUCAAUGGGGGAAACCCUGAAGCAGCAACGCCGCGUGGAGGAUGAAGGUUUUCGGAUUGUAAACUCCUUUUGUUAGAGAAGAUAAUGACGGUAUCUAACGAAUAAGCACCGGCUAACUCCGUGCCAGCAGCCGCGGGAAUACGGAGGGUGCAAACGUUACUCGGAAUCACUGGGGGUAAAGAGCGCGGAGGCGGGAUAGCAAGUCAGAUGUGAAAUCCUAUGGCUUAACCAUAGAACUGCAUGUGAAACUGUUAUUCUAGAGUAUGGGAGAGGUAGGUUGAAUUCUUGGUGUAGUCGAAAUAUCCGUAGAGAUCAAGCGGAAUACUCAUUGCGAAGGCGACCUGCUAGAACAUAACUGACGCUGAUGCGCGAAAGCGUGGGGAGCAAACAGGAUUAGAUACCCUUGUAGUC